rnacentral:rRNA from 1 species
GGCCACGGCCAUACCACCCUGAGCGUGCCCAAUCUCGUCUGAUCUUGGAAGCUAUGCAAGGUCAGGCCUGAUUAGCAUUUGGGAGAAAAAUUAGCUUGGCAUGGUGG